rnacentral:rRNA from 1 species
UAGACGCCAGAACAGAUCACGUCAAAUACCUCUCUCAAACAGGUAACAACAAAUGAACCCUGUUCCACGUCUUAGGUUGGGGCGACCACGGUGAACAGAAAAACCCCCGCGUGGACUGAGAGCAUAUAUUCACACUUAUUAAUACUGCUUCUCACAACCAUGAGCUACAGCUCUAAAUAACAGAACUUCUGACCAAAAAAAUGAUCCGGCAAUGCCGAUUAACGGACCAAGUUACCCCAGGGAUAACAGCGCAAUCCUCUUUAAGAGUCCAUAUCGACAAGAGGGUUUACGACCUCGAUGUUGGAUCAAGACAUCCUAAUGGUGCAACCGCUAUUAAG